AUCUCAAAAAGCCGAUCGUAGUCCGGAUUGGAGUCUGCAACUCGACUCCAUGAAGUCGGAAUCGCUAGUAAUCGCGGAUCAGAAUGCCGCGGUGAAUACGUUCCCGGGCCUUGUACACACCGCCCGUCACACCAUGGGAGUUUGUUGCACCAGAAGUAGCUAGCCUAACUGCAAAGAGGGCGGUUACCACGGUGUGGCCGAUGACUGGGGUGAAGUCGUAACAAGGUAGCCGUAGGGGAACCUGCGGCUGGAUCACCUCCUUA
rnacentral:rRNA from 1 species